UCUCUUGUGGUAUAAUGGCCAAAUUACACACACCGGAUAUCCUGCCAGUGCCGAUUUCCUCGUCCGUGUGGGAUCUGGGUUCGACUCCCAGCAAGAGAA